rnacentral:rRNA from 1 species
UACAGAGGUCCCGAGCGUUGUUCGGAUUCACUGGGCGUAAAGGGUGCGUAGGUGGCUUGGUAAGUUUGAUGUGAAAGCUCAGGGCUCAACCCUGAAAUGGCAUUGAAUACUACUGAGCUGGAGGUUUGGAGGGGGGACUGGAAUUCUCGGUGUAGCAGUGAAAUGCGUAGAUAUCGAGAGGAACACCAGUGGCGAAGGCGAGUCCCUGGACAACACCUGACACUGAGGCACGAAAGCUAGGGGAGCAAACAGG